GGGGUGGGAAGGGCUCAUGUGAGGAGCUGAAAGGAAGUGGACGUGCUGGGCAGGGGGCUGGGGCAGCCUGGAGAGCUCCUGGACAGCUCCCGGCUCCUGUCCCGCCUGCACCUGAGCCACUGGCCUGCCUCUCCCCGCAGCCAGCAGCCAUGUGGAGACCCGGGCCCACGCCGAGGAGCGGCUCCUGAAGAAACUCUUCUCCGGUUACAACAAGUGGUCCCGACCCGUGGCCAACAUCUCGGACGUGGUCCUCGUCCGCUUCGGCCUGUCCAUCGCUCAGCUCAUUGACGUGGUAGGUGAGGGCGUGGCCAUCGUGCACUGUGACUGAGGUCGCCCUGCAAGGAGCACAGGGGUCUGGGUGGGCAGAGGGGACACAGCCAUCAACACUCCCCGUGGCUGUGAGUGUCCGGCCCGGGCUGGUACGUCAGAACGACAGCCAC
rnacentral:lncRNA from 1 species